UUGGAGGGCAAGUCUGGUGCCACGCAGCCGCGGUAAUUCCAGCUCCAAUAGCGUAUAUUAAAGUUGUUGCAGUUAAAAAGCUCGUAGUUGAAUUUCGGGAUUGACGUAAUGGUCAUGCCUUAAGGGGUAUGAACUGUUACUGUUGAUUUCUCACCUUCUGGAGAAACUUGAUGUCCUUUAUUGGGUGUCUUGCGGAUCCAGGACCUUUACCUUGAAAAAACUUAGAGUGUUUAAAGCAGGCAUUUUUGCUCGAAUACAUUAGCAUGGAAUAAUAG
rnacentral:rRNA from 1 species